rnacentral:lncRNA from 1 species
AAAAUAUUUAGUUAAUAUCUGUCAUAUGUAACUGGAAAAACUAAAAUUUUCAAACAUUUUAAUGAUAGAAAUUGAAAAUAAGACUUCAUUUUGAUCUAGAAAUGCCAUUGUACCUGGUUUCAAACAUGAUGAUAGAAGUUACACUGUAUUCUUUUGAUAAAGUUUGAAGCUUUUCUAAGAAAAAUAAAAAGAAUGUAGUUUAGAAAGAAAUAUGAUACAUCAUAAUAAGAUGUUUGUGAUUUGCAUAUUGCAUGUUAUUUAUAAGAUGAUAUCAAAAAAUUUCUUUACAGUAUGGGGAUGGAACAUAAUACAGUGUUGUCAUGAUAUGGUUCUUCACAGCAGCCUUGUCAGUCAGUGCAUCAAGAAUCAUUGUACUGAAUAAACAUGAUUAUGUGCUAUGCUUUGUUUAGCACAUAUUGCAUGACACUCGCACCAUCAGAAAUGAAUGAAAAGUCAAACACGAGUGCAUCAAACUCUGUGUCAGAAUUGGUAAAAACAUAUCAGAAACAGAAAUUGCUUCACCAGGCUUUUGAUGACUGUGCUUUAGAUAAAACAAAUGUGAGUGGCACAGACAUUUCCAAUGCACUCAAGAAACACUUGCAGAUAAUGAAUGGGUAGAAUACAUUUUGACAAGCAUAACUACCAAAAAUGUUGAGAAAGUUCAAGCAUUAAUUUGAAAGGACUGUUGGCAAAGCAUUUUGAUUAUUAUUGCAGAACCAUGUAAGGCUCGAGUGCUUAUAGUUGUUGACACUGAGAACUGGAUGAUCCAUGAUGAAAAUGCUGCAGUCCACAUACCCAUCAAAGCAUAUCAGUUUUUGGACUGAAACAACCGUCCAUUCUUUACACUUCCUAUUCUCUUGAUUUAGCAAUCUGUGACAUUUUUAUCUUUUCUAUGAUGAAAAUGAAGGUUAAAGAUUGGAGGUUUGGCACAGUUGAGAAGAUUUGGGAUAAGAUGGGGAUUGUGCUGAACAGCAUGAAGAAAUAUUGCAUCAACUCCCAGGGAAACUACUUUGAGUGAGGUGUCGCAUCUAAAAAUCAGAUUGAUUUGUCACUUAUAGAACCAGUUUGAAACUGUUUUGAUAUUGCCUCAUAUUAAAAAAGAUGUUAAGAAAAAAUAAUUUUCUAUUGAUGAUAUCAAUAAUUCAAAGAAAACAAAAAAAAAAUUUAUAAAUAUAUUUCUAAAAUAAAAAUAAGAGAUAUCAAAAAUCUCCAAUAAAAUAUAUGUUUUUGCAAUCACACACUGCUUGCUUACAAUUUUUGUAAUGUGAUUGCUAGAUUAUCCCUUCUGAUGUUACAACUGCAAUUAGAUGGGAUAUGUUGAUAGCUGUAGUGAUUAGCCCAUGGAUUAUACAAUAUUUAAUUAUUUUUACAAUAUUUUGAAGUAUGAUUAUUAAUUCUUAAUUGAAUCAAUUACAUAAAAUAAAAAUGGUAAACAUUGGAAAAUAGUUGCUUUUCUGUUAGAUAGAAAGUAUGUCUAAAUAAAAUACCAUCCAAUUUAGACAAAUUAAAGAAAAUAAUUUAAUUUUUAAUUAAUGGGAUCCAUAUGACCUCAUGUCACUGAUUGGAGCUAUGAAAAAACAAUACUUGAUGUGUUAAAUAUGAUAUGGUUCUACUAGGGCAUGGAUGGCAAACCUAUGGCAUGCUUCGCCAAAAUGACACACUGGCAAAUUUUUUGGGAACACAAAACUUGAAACUGAUAUUUGGAUUGUGUCACAGAAUAUUUUUUUACAAAAAUUUAGCCAAUUUUAGCACACAUCCUUAAAAAAGUUUACUAUUACUGUAUU